AACCCUUCGGGCGAAGAUAAGACGGAUUAGCGGCGGACGGGUGAGUAACACGUGAGUAACCUGCCUUUUACACAGGGAUAGCCUCGGGAAACCGGGAUUAAAACCUGAUGAAAACUAUCAAAAUCACAUGAUUAAGAAAGUUAAAACUCCGGUGGUAAAAGAUGGACUCGCGUCCCAUUAGCUAGUUGGUGAAGGUAACGGCCCACCAAGGCAACGAUGGGUAGCCGGCCUGAGAGGGUGAACGGCCACAUUGGAACUGAGAAACGGUCCAAACUCCUACGGGAGGCAGCAGGU
rnacentral:rRNA from 1 species